rnacentral:rRNA from 1 species
UACGUAGGUGGCAAGCGUUGUCCGGAUUUACUGGGCGUAAAGCGCACGCAGGUGGCUGAGUCAGUCGAUUGUGAAAGCCCCGGGCUUAACCUGGGAACUGCAUUGGUGACUGCAAGGCUUGAGUGUGUCAGAGGGAGGUGGAAUUCCGCGUGUAGCAGUGAAAUGCGUAGAUAUGCGGAGGAACACCGAUGGCGAAGGCAGCCUCCUGGGAUAACACUGACGCUCAUGCACGAAAGCGUGGGGAGCAAACAGG